rnacentral:lncRNA from 1 species
ACUUGUAUAAAAAUAGCAGAAAUGGCCAUGUUGUCUCUCAGCCCCUGUCCUGGGAACGACGCUUGAAGAUAUGCAUUGGUGCAGCACGUGGAUUGGAUUACCUUCACACCGGGUGAUGGUACCAUGCAUAAUUAUCAUUUAAUAAUAUCUAUAGUAUUAUAUACAAAGCUAGGGAGCAAUAAAUGCAAAGACUAACACCACACGGCACACCCAUGUGAUACACCCAUGCCACAAGGACAACAAAACUUUAACUAUUGUACUUUUAAUUGACUCAACUGUAGCUUGACAGGAAGCAUGGAUGUGCACUGCAGGUAAGGCCAUGACUUUAACUAUAGUAAUUGUACUCCUUGCUCAAUAGUGCUCAUAUGGAUGUACUAUAAAUACAUGCAUUCUCACAGGUAAAAAGGGGGGCCUCACUAGUAUCAAGCAUGCUCACAACACACAAAAUAUUCAUCUCUAAAUAUUCUCUCUCUGGGCUAUCACAAAUAUUCACUCUUCAAAGCAUACAAAAUCACAUAUCUCUCUCAUUCUCUACUUAUGCUCUUAUGUUCCGAUCACUGAUUAUCACGCCGGAGGCGCUUCACGGGACACACCCCCGUGCGGCGUUGUUUUGCAGGUCCCGGGUCUAUCUCAAACCACCCAAAGCAAUGACAACGGACACAUCGACGAUAAAUGGACUUAUCAUUUGGCGCGCCAGGAAGGGGCCUUUUUUCAUUACGAAAAGCCUUCAGCACCUGCGCCAUUAUUUAUGCAAAGGAAGCUAACACAUAAAUCAGUGAAAGAGGGUCAUCAAAAAACAAAAUAAAAUAUUACAAUCUACUCCGAGAGGAAGCGGAGCAUCAAGCUAUUUUAUUUUCACUAGUUGGGCCCUAUGCUAUUUUUUCGGGGGAGCACCAUGUCAUUUUUUCAAACAAAACAUCACACCACUUUUAUACGUGGAGCAACAUGCAACUCCCCAAGGGGAUCACCAAACCAAACCAAGCAAAUAAACAAUAUGCUAAUAUCUCUCAAAGCGGACAAAAAAGCAACAUAUACAUGUCUCCGAAGUCAAGCAACAUGGCCACAUACAACUAGGUCCCGCAACCAAGCAACAUGGCCACACACAACUAGGUCCCGCGACCAAGCAACAAAGCAACACACAACUAUGUCCCACGACCAAGCAACAAAGCAACAUCAUCUCACAAAAGCAAGCACAAAAGCAUCAUGCACAUAUCACAAAAGCAAGCACAAAAGCAUCAUGCACAUAUCACAAAAGCAAGCACAAAAGCAUCAUGCAUCUAUCUCACAAAAGCAAGCAACAAAGCAUCGUGCACAUAGCACAAAACAAGCAAAAAACAUCAUACAUCUAUCUCACAAAAGCAAGCAACAAAGCAUCAUGCACAUGUCACAAAAGCAAGCAACAAAGCAACAUACAUCUAUCAUUACAAAUUUUGGUCCACCUUUACUGCAGGUCCGGACCUUCUGCACCCAAUACUAGCAAGUUACACUUAAAAUACCAAUAUACAGAAAAUCCGGCAAUGGGAGGCGGCCUUGUCCAAUACGGCCACAAAUAUCAACCUUAUGGAUCAUCUCAACAAAUUAAUUUUAUUAAAUAAAAAGCAUGAUGCCUGGACAUGCUUAUCUCGCUCAAAGGAUGCAACGACGACUACAGGUUCUUUUUUCAUGUGUACUGCCACUAUUUAUAUUCACAAUUGUCCGGAUAUGUUUGCAUAUUUUAUUUCAUCAUAAUUACCUCUAUCUUUGAUGUUUCAAAUAUCAGAGCAUGGUGCAUAUAUUCAUUUAUGUAACUCACAUAUAUGAUCGCUUCACACUUUGCUACUGUUGCUAUUAACUUUGCCGGCAGCUAGUAUCACUCAACUACAUGGUAUUGUUGUCCGCAACUCCACUUUAAGGAGUCCGCUACCUUACUGGUUUCUCCCCAGUUUCCCCAGAUCUACCCAAUAUUGAACACCACCUGACCACACACUAUUGUCAACCUGCAGCCCAUGCAUUUAUAUCUAUUUUCCACUUAGCAAUAUUUUGACGCGGGCAACAAAAUAUAUAUAUUCUUAAUAUGUUUCUUACUUUUGACACAUGCAAAUAAUCUCUAUAUUUUGAUUUUUAUAAUCAGAUAUUUUCGAGAUACAAGCUUUCAAUUUUAUUUAUUCAGUUCUUUUUCAUCAAUCACUUGAUCUCUCUUAUAUUAGUUAGUGCAACACAUAUUACAAAAAUAUCUUAUCACUUGAUUUAUUUGUCAAAAGAAAGAAAAGCUGCAACUUAGAAAUCCUACACAGUACCACAUAACAUGCAUUAGAAAUUUAUUCCUGCUUACACUCUUGUGAAAAGCUUGCUAAAGCAAAAUACAAAUUUCUGCCCGCUGUCAUAACUCAUAACGGUGCUUGUUGGCCAAGAGUUCACCUUUAAAUAUAUUUCAUGCUACAAACACUUGCACAUUGCAAUUUACGCAUUUAGUUUAAAAAAAAUCUGUCCUGGGGCAUGAAGCAAAAUUUCAAAUGCACAUUUUCUUAAAAUUUGCACAUCAUUAUUUUUUAAUUUUUCUAGCUAUGCUACGUGUUUCAUUAAUAUUAUUGUUAACCAGAAUAGAAAUUACACUCUUACAGACAAUAUUAGUACACCCAAAAUUCAUCCAUCACAGCAUCCAGAGGAUACAAGAUUUAUACAUAUUUUUUCUUUUAUAUAUCGCAAAGCUUGAUCCGGGUGAGCAACAUGAAUAAUUAUUUUUCAGGCUUUACACAUCUUCUUUCCUUUUUCUUUAAACCCAUUAACACUCCAAGGCGGGGUGCGGGCGUUGAUCUUGUAACUUAAUCUCUGGCUACAUGCAUGUUAUGUCUCUUGUACCGCCACCAAGCUCAUCACGGCAUCACGGAUUGCCGCUUGCAAAUCUAUCCCGCUACGCUCACGUCCUCAAACUUAAGCCCGUCACAUCAGUCCUAUUAGGCCCGCCACGUACCUUUAUUUAUGAACAUUAUAUAUAAGGGACCGCUGGCUCACUUCAACAGUAUCAUCUAGCAUCUUUGAAAGACUUUACACGGAGUAGCAGUUUACACAUAUACAUAUGGGUAUAUCAAUACAUAUGCAAACUCAACAUUCACGUGCAUAAUUGGAUUUAAAUCCGUCACCUUCAUUGGCACCGCCAUCAACGCCUCCCGCUAUCUCGUGUAAUUGUUGCAUCGGUUAAAAUAUAUGUUAUUAUUCUCCAUCUCACCAUUUUUCUUCAUCACGGCACAAAUCAAAUGCACCACCCAUAACAUACAAAAGAUGAGUCAAUAGCUUGUAAUAAGAUUUGAAUCCUAUCACACCUGUCCCCGUCCGCCAGCCUUUGGUGUCGCACACUAAGCUAUAUAUUACAUACAUAUAUACACAAUCUGCUACUGCUACCACACACCAGCAUGCCACACUGUAUCAUCAUGUGUCCGCUAGUAAGCAAGACAAUGGUGUAGAUAUCUAUAUUUGUUGUUCAACUCAUCUUGGACAAAGUAGGGACAAACCCAGCACCUCGGUUGUCGCGUCUUGUCGUCUUUACUCAUGCCCUGUAAUAUUAUUUUCACAUAUCUAAAAACAACAUGCCACCUCAUUCUAACAGUCCGCGACCUCCGCAACCUACCACACAAGCACAAAAUGGUCACCAACUUCCUACUCUCAGCAUAAUUCUAUAACACUGGAUAUUUCUCUUUUUCCCGCAACCUUUUUGCUAUAUCUCUUACAAACAGGUAGCCUAAAUAUUCAAACAAUCUGGCAGGCUAAAAUGAUCAUAUGAUUUAUAUAUGUUACCUUCAAACUCUCACUGAUAUAUUUGACUAAGUUACUACACUUAUACUUUGAUUCUGCGACAUUUUGGAAGCUUUUCUCUUAUUUCCAUCAACCACUAGUGUCUUGGGCUAAAUGGCCCGUCCGCCGUGACCUUUUUUACUAUCCCGCAUAGAUAACCAUAAUACAGCCCGCUAACUCACAACCGGUAUUAGUAUAUAUUAUAUGCUUUUAUUGUAUAUUAUAUGCGUUCAACAGAAUAAAUAUGUGUCCGCUACCCAUGUUCUACCUCUGUACCGCCAUCAAUGCGUGCCACCACCUCGUAUCAGUUGUUGCGUCCAUCUCUUUUUGCGUACAAAAUUAUGGGUAGCAGAUCGUCAAAAAGAAGCUUAUACAUUUUUUUUUUUUUUUUUUACAAUAACACCAACUUCAUCCCGGCCAUUCAGAAUAGCAAGAUAGUUGGCCGCCACUCAAUGCAUACCUAUAUGUGUGUUUAGGCAACAUAUUUUUAAUCACUACGGGGCGUGUCACUUUUAUUAACUUUUAACCUUUAUUAAUUAGCUUUGAGGCCCAUCACCUUUAUGUGUAUUGCAUAUGUUCUUAUACAAUCCGCUACCUCACUCACAAAAACCGUACCCGCGAUCUCGUUCUUGCGACCCACCAAGUCUAAGACACCAUUAUCAAACCACCGCAUGCAUUGAUUAUGUAGCAAACAAGCUUAUCUCUCUAGCUUAGGCCAACACAUAUUAAUUGUCUAUGCAUUCUUGUUUGUGCUGAAAUAUUUGUCAUCCUUUCACUUAAGUUCAUUUUUGGCUCCAUGCGUCACUUUCUCCUAUAUCAUAUUUUUUAGUCUUGUACAUCCGAGAACUAAUCUUUCACAUAUUUACACAAAAUUCAUAUAACACUGGGGGGCAACCAAGCACCAAUUUUUUCACAAAAUUUUUCUCUUUCCCGAGUGUUGUCCGCAACCAACACUGGGGGGCAACCAAGAACCAAUUUUUUCACAAAAUUUUUCUCUUUCCCGAGUGUUGUCCACAACCAACACUGGGGGGCAACCAAGAACCAAUUUUUUCACAAAAAUUUUUCUCUUUCCCGAGUGUUGUCCGCAACCAACACUGGGGGGCAACCAAGAACCAAUUUUUUCACAAAAUUUUUCUCUUUCCCGAGUGUUGUCCGCAACCAACACUGGGGGGCAACCAAGAACCAAUUUUUUCACAAAAUUUUUUCUCUUUCCCGAGUGUUGUCCGCAACCAACACUGGGGGGCAACCAAGAACCAAUUUUUUCACAAAAUUUUUCUCUUUCCCGAGUGUUGUCCGCAACCAACACUGGGGGGCAACCAAGAACCAAUUUUUUCACAAAAUUUUUUCUCUUUCCCGAGUGUUGUCCGCAACCAACACUGGGGGGCAACCAAGAACCAAUUUUUUCACAAAAUUUUUCUCUUUCCCGAGUGUUGUCCGCAACCAACACUGGGGGGCAACCAAGAACCAAUUUUUUCACAAAAUUUUUUCUCUUUCCCGAGUGUUGUCCGCAACCAACACUGGGGGGCAACCAAGAACCAAUUUUUUCACAAAAUUUUUCUCUUUCCCGAGUGUUGUCCGCAACCAACACUGGGGGGCAACCAAGAACCAAUUUUUUCACAAAAUUUUUUUUUUUUCCCGAGUGUUGUCCGCAACCAACACUGGGGGGCAACCAAGAACCAAUUUUUUCACAAAACUUUCUUUUUCCGUGUUGCUCGCACCCAACACAUGAAAAGCACCCAAACAACUUAUUUUUCUUCAAACUUGUCCCAGCUCGAUUUUCUUUUUUACUUACUCCUCCCAUCCGCUAAAGCAAAUGGAAGGAGUAGGGGGGCAAUGAUAGUACCAUGCAUAAUUAUCAUUUAAUAAUAUCUAUAGUAUUAUAUACAAAGCUAGGGAGCAAUAAAUGCAAAGACUAACACCACACGGCACACCCAUGUGAUACACCCAUGCCACAAGGACAACAACACUUUAACUAUUGUACUUUUAAUUGACUCAACUGUAGCUUGACAGGAAGCAUGGAUGUGCACUGCAGGUAAGGCCAUGACUUUAACUAUAGUAAUUGUACUCCUUGCUCAAUAGUGCUCAUAUGGAUGUACUAUAAAUACAUGCAUUCUCACAGGUAAAAAGGGGGGCCUCACUAGUAUCAAGCAUGCUCACAACACACAAAAUAUUCAUCUCUAAAUAUUCUCUCUCUGGGCUAUCACAAAUAUUCACUCUUCAAAGCAUACAAAAUCACAUAUCUCUCUCAUUCUCUACUUAUGCUCUUAUGUUCCGAUCACUGAUUAUCACGCCGGAGGCGCUUCACGGGACACACCCCCGUGCGGCGUUGUUUUGCAGGUCCCGGGUCUAUCUCAAACCACCCAAAGCAAUGACAACGGACACAUCGACGAUAAAUGGACUUAUCACCGGGACAGGUCUGCAGCAAAGAGUGAUGCACCGCGAUCAGUGGCGGAGGCAGAACACAAUGCUCAAGGGGGCACUUUUUAAUUUUUAACAUUCUAAGGGCAAUUUUUAACAUUCCAGGGGGCACAAGGAGUAAUAUUUUGUAGAUUAAUAUUGUCAAAUAUGUGGAUCUCAUAUAAAAACAUACACACUUUUCUGAAACCUAUGGGGGCAUGGGCACCCAGAGGCCCCCAUGUCCCUCCGUCUCUGACCGCGAUGUGAAGAGCUCAAACAUCCUUUUGGAUGAGUAUUGGGAGGCAAAAGUUUCUGACUUUGGUUUGUCCAAAGUUGGCCCUGCGAAUCAAUCAUCUUCUCACGUGAGCACACACGUCAAAGGCACGCCAGGAUAUAUGGAUCCAGAGUAUUUCUUGACGCAUAGACUGACGAGGAAAUCUGAUGUAUAUUCAUUUGGAGUUGUUUUAUUUGAAGUGUUGUGUGGAAGGUGUGCUUUGGAUAUGAAAAUUGACGAGGACCAGCAAUCUCUAGCACGAUAUGCUCAUCGAUGCAUUCAGGAAGGAACCACAUAUCAGAUGAUUGAUUCGACUAUUAGAGGACAAAUCUCAAAAGACUGUCUAAAGGUGUUUUUAGAUAUUGGCGAUCAGUGCUUGAAUUAUCAGCAACGUAAGCGGCCUACAAUGGCUGAUGUCGUCGCAAAGCUUGAGCUUGCUAUGGAGUUACAAAAGAGAACAGUCUCUUCUGUGGACUACAUAUUUCUUGCAGCUACCAGAAGGGUUGGUGACAAUCAAGACAAUAACAAUAUUGUUGGGGUUCUUGACAAUCUUGAGGAUGAUACAGGUCUAGUUCUUUCCAACCAAGAGGAUGAUACUGGUGGGAUUGUCGAGAAUCAUAGAAAUCUGCCCCUUUUAAAGAAGAAAGACAAAGGUAUGUUAAAACUUGUUGCUCGAAAUAUGUUUAAGGCUAUAUUUGUAGUGGGAAGAGGUAAGAAAAAUUUAGCAAGACAGAAUACAGAUCAUGGCAGUCGUUUAAGGCCACCCAACCUGGAGCCAAUUAUAAAUGGGAGCACAAUAUCUGUUGAUUCUUCUUCAUCCUUAACCCGCUCUUUGUCAGCCGAAACCCAAAUCCCCCAGUUUUCAUUUCUAAAGAUUCAAGCUGCCACGAACUCUUUCCAUGCAGGCCUGGUUCUAACUCACGGCCGUCAAGGUAUGGUCUUUAAAGGUCAUCUUGACAGUGGAGAGGUCGUCAUAAAACAGUUGAUACUAACCAGACAAAGAAGAGGGUAUCUAUCUUUCCACAAUGAGAUUUUACGCUCUAAGAUCAAUUAUCUUCAUGUGCUACCAUUGAUCGGAUUUUGUUGCGAUUGUGAUGAUGUAUAUAGGCUCUAUCUGGUAUCCAAGUACAUGGCCAAUAACUCAUUAGAUUAUCAUCUUCACAACAACAACAAUAGUACUCCUCUGACAUGGAACUUGAGGCUCCAGAUAUGUAUUGGGGUUGCCAAGGGUUUGAACUACCUCCACAAGGGCAUAGCUAAUCACAUAAUAAUUCACGGCACACUGAAGCCAAACAAGAUCCUCUUAGAUGAGAACUGGAUACCUAAUAUAUGUGGAUAUGGUUUGUGGCGACUUGGAUCAUCGGUUAUUAAUACUGAUAAUUACUUGCGCUCUCAGGAAUUGAUCCCACCUUUCGAUUUCUGGGAAACAUGGGCGUACUUGUCUCCAGAGCAAAAGGCGGAGGAACGAUUGACUCCAAAAUCAGAUGUUUACUCACUGGGUAUUGUUCUCUUGAAUAUACUGUUUGAUUGGAGAGAAAUUAUAAUGAAUUUAGCUCGUCUUAAUAAUGCUGAGGUGAGUUUGUCUGCUUGGAUAAAAAACAACAUCAGAAAAAAAACUCUGAUAUUUUUCAUGUACCCAUAUCUUGCGGGGAAAGUAGCAUCAGAAUGUUUCGUUGAAAUAUUAGAUAUUGCUUUGCAUUGUUUGAUGCAAAAUAAAGAUGAUCGUCCAUCAAUGGAGGAUGUGAUGAAGAGGCUAGAGUCUGCACUUGAGUUUCAGAUGAAUCACACUUGGAAUUUUUUUGAUGAUGAGGUCAACCAGCUUGAGUGUACACUUCAGAUUCAAUUGCAAACGAAUUACAGUUGGAGGUUGGAUGUGGACGGCAAUGAUCAUAUUGAGACGAGCACGGGGAGCCUGAAUGAUGACGAGAAUGAGGACGAUGAUGAUAGGAUGAACAGUUGGAGCUCAAAUCAUGAUAAUACGCAGAUGAGCAUUCCAAAUUUCGAUUUUGACAGUAUGGAAUUUGCUAGAUAAGCAUAUUGGAUAAUUAACCAUGUCUCAGGGCUUGACUGAGAAUUUGUUCACACAAACUGAACAAAUUCGGAGAAGAAUUUUGUUGAAGCUCCUGAUAGAGCAGUCAAGGACACCGAGAGUAUGAGUAUUGGUCAGUUAAAGAGUUUGAACAACAAGAGUAAACUGGUAUGUAAUUAUAGACUUAUAGUAUCCUGGAACAGACGAUGCGCUUACAUGAAAGAUCAUUAGCCUUUCAGAUUUAGAUACUAUUGAAUGUAGUUGUGUAGUUACAAUUAGUAUAUGCUUGUCACAAUGAACUGAAAGUAUUGUUUCAAUCAGUGUAUUUGAACAAGUAAAUUCAGCAAAUUUAGUUUUGAAUCAGGCUAUUAUUAUUGGUUGUAGAUAUGUAUUCAAUUCGCGCUUCAACUACAUGGAUACUGUUGAACUUGCGCAUUCUAUAUUCUAAACCCAACAGAAUUAUUAUGGAUACGCUUUAAGUAUAUUAUUACCAUGCAUCAUCAGUAAUGAGAGCUACUUUGAAAUUGGUUUACAAGACUAGCGAGCAUUCCAUAAGGACAAGAAGUUGUUUCCAGACCAGUGAUGACAAGUUGGGAGGGAGUAAUCAGUCAUGUGAACACUGGAACAUACGGAUCCAGAGUAUUUCUUCACGCAUAGACGGACUACAAAAUCUGAUGUAUAUUUGGAGUCGUCGUAAUAUCCGAAGUGCUGUCUGGAAGGCGUGGUAUGGAUAUGAAAAUUCAUGACGACCAACAAGGCAACAACCUCUAGCUAGAUAUGCUCAUCGAGGCAUUUUACAAGGAACGAUAGAUCAGAUCAUUAAAUCUACUCCUAGAGGACAAAUCUCGAAAGACUGUCUAAAGGUGUUUGUAGAUAUUGAAGAUCAGUGCUUGCAUUAUCAGCAAAGUAAGCGCCCUACAAUGGCCGGUGUGGUUGCAAAACUUGAAUUGCUUUUUACUUACAAAACAGAACAGAGUAUUCUGUGGACUUUCCUUUAGAUACAAGAAGGGUUCUUGCCUUCUUGACAUUCUAGAAAAUAAUAAUAGCUCCUCAAAGAAGAAAGCAAAGGUAUGUUGAAACUUGUAGGUAGAAAGAUGUCCGCGAGCUAUUUUAGUAGCAAGAAAAGGUAAGAAAAAUGUUGGGAGUCACAGUGAAAAUCACAGCAACAAUGUAUAGAGCAGUUAUAUUAUAUAAACAAGAGUAGGCCAACGAAACCACAACAAUAUAGCAUGCACGAAGAUCGUAUACACAAUAAUCAGUGACUGAGAAAUUACGAGAAAAGAAGAGAAAGGCGCACCUUACACCGUCGCUAGAAUUUAGUAUACAGAACAGCUGAGUCGCCUAGCCCUUCGAUGAAGACUAGACUGUUCUUGAAGUGAUUAUUGCCCCACUACGCUGUGAUGGGUAGUCGCAAUAUCGCUCCCAGGAUAAAACAGCACAGACCGAACCGCUCACAGACACGAGUACGAUCAACAGCGAUCAACACCUCAGUUCGCCCGAGAACAGUAUGUAUAUGUGUAUAUAUCGGAGCAGAGGGUGAGAGUGUAAUAGAGAAGAAUGAGAAUGGUGUUUGUGUUUUUCCCGUGUUCCAACUCAAGUGUCGAGGCUCACUAUUUAUAGUGAGGCCAAGCCACCAACACACUGUCCAGAUUCAUCUGUCCAGGUUCAAUGAAUCUGUAUCUGUCAGAUAUACUGACCAGAUUCAUUUGUCCAGAUUCAAUGAAUCUGUAUCUGUCAGAUAUACUGACCAGAUUCAUUUGUCCAGAUUCAAUGAAUCUGUAUCUGUCAGAUAUACUGACCAGAUUCAUUUGUCCAGAUUCAAUGAAUCUGUAUCUGUCAGAUAUACUGACCAGAUUCAUUUGUCCAGAUUCAAUGAAUCUGUAUCUGUCAGAUAUACUGACCAGAUUCAUUUGUCCAGAUUCAAUGAAUCUGUAUCUGUCAGAUAUACUGACCAGAUUCAUUUGUCCAGAUUCAAUGAAUCUGUAUCUGUCAGAUAUACUGACCAGAUUCAUUUGUCCAGAUUAAAUGAAUCACAUUCUCAUUUCAAGCUCUUUCAAGCCACUGUAUUCAACUCUAUUUCUCAAUGGAUUUCACUAAGAAAAUGUCCCGGAAAUUACAUCAAGAACAUAUUAAAAAAUAUGCUUUAAACUUUCCAUUUUCUAACAAUCCCCCACAAAUCCAUAUAGAUAUGCAUAUUAGUCCUCAUCAUGACUUGUUUUUCAGAGUAGGUACCCUUCCGGGUUUGAACCCUCCUAAGUCCCCUACUUCGAUGGCUACCGGAUAUAGAUGGAUUGUUUCACCUUGAAUCUCUAUCCGUUGGGUGUAACCACACUCCAUAGACGACGACAAGUCAAAGGCUAUGGUGCCGAUCUACGGCUUUGAGACAUUAAUGGUCGUGUCUCGAUCCUGUUCGUCGAAUGUUUCAAGGAAUAACCCUUUCCUCUAAUUGCGACCUCACAAUUACAUUCGCUUAGCUGGGCAUCUCCAGAGAUGUACUGCAACCAUCUCGUCAAAUGACUUGACCCCAUUCAGAGUUCUAAAAACUCUUGCUAUACUUGCAGUGUCAGUACCUUUUAGGUUUGCAGGGGAUAGACUCAGAUGCAUAAGUAUCUACAUUGUAGUUAAAGGUACUACCGAUCCACCCUUACAGCUUGUUUACCACAUUGAAUACACUUUGAGGGAUCUCCUCUCAGAUGUAUUGGGUUCCCGCUGUAGAUGAAUCAUGAUGGGUUAUCAGUCCCAUCCCCAACCUUGACUUAAGGACAACAGCAUGCUCAAGCCCUUUAGUCAGUGGAUCAGCUAUGUUAUCUUGAGUUCCAAUGAACUCAAUAGCAAUAGUCCGAUCAGACACCAAACCCCUUAUAGACUUAAGUCUAACUUGGAUGUGUCUCUUUGUUUUAGCAUUAUACUUGACACUUCUGAUCUUGUCGAUAGUUGUACGGCUAUCACAAUGAACAGAAAUUGCCGGUAGCGGACGACUUACUACAGGUAACACAGACAUGAGUCCAUGUAACCAUUCAGCCUCCGUACCCGUGGCAUCCAAUGCACACAACUCGGCCUCAAACGUAGACCGAGUUACUAUAGUCUGUCUAGUCGACUUCCAGGAUACUGCUCCACCCGCAAGGGUAAACAGAUAUCCAGUCACUCCAUUGGAACCAGACUUCUUAGCUAUCCAACUUGCAUCACUAUAUCCCUCAAGCACACUCGGAUAUCUCCUGUAGUGCAACCCAAGAUAUAUGGUGCCUUUCAGAUAUCUAAGUACUCUAUCUAGAGCAUCCCAAUGAGUUCUGUUUGGACAGCUUGUAUAUCUUGCUAACUUAGACACAGAAUAUGUUAUAUCUGGUCUAGUACCAUUAGCAAGAUAUUGCAAACUACCAAUAAUCUGAGAAUAUCUUAACUGAGACACAGGUACACCUGAAGCAUUCUUGAUAAGAGCAACUUUAGGAUCAUAUGGUGUACUAGCAAUUCUACAAUUUGAAUAACCAUACUUCUCAAGUAUAGAUUUCUCUAUAUAAUGAGAUUGUGACAAGGUUAUUCCCUCAGUUGACUGAGUCAACUUGAGUCCAAGAAUCACAUUCGCCUCACCCAUGUCCUUCAUUUCAAAGUGUUUUUUCAAGAAAUUCUUUGUCUCGUUAAUAAUCUCAAUAUUGGUUCCAAACAGUAGUAUAUCAUCCACAUACAAGCACAACACAAUAUGUUCAUUUCCUUUAACCUUAUAGUAGACACACUUGUCAUUAUCAUUAACUAUAAAAUCAAAAGUCAAAACAGUGUCAUCAAACUUUUUGUGCCAGUCUCUAGGUGCUUGUUUCAAGCCGUAGAUGGAUUUGACUAACUUACAUACUUUGCUCUCAUUGCCAGAUGCAACAAAUCCCUCAGGCUGAUCCAUAUAAAUCUCUUCUUCAAGAUCACCAUGAAGAAAAGCUGUCUUUACAUCCAUUUGAUGGAUGAUAAGACCAUGUACGGAAGCCAAUGCUACAAGCAUUCGGAUCGUUGUCAAUCUUGCAACAGGAGAGUAUGUAUCAAAGUAGUCAAUACCUUCUCUUUGCCUAAAACCUUUAGCAACCAAUCUAGCUUUAUACUUAUCUAUUGAGCCAUCUGGUUUCAUCUUCCUUUUGAAGAUCCACCUACAUCCUAUAGUAGAACACCCAGGAGGGAGGUCAACCAACUCCCAUGUUCCGUUAGAAACAAUAGAGUCAAUUUCACUCUUCACAGCGCCUUUCCAGUGCCUAGAUUCCGAAGAAUCCAUGGCUUGUCGGAAAGUCAAAGGUUCGUCCUCGACAUUGUAAGUGAUAAAAUCACUUCCAAAGUCCUUAACUACCUUUGCACGCUUGCUCCUUCUAGGUUCCUCAACUUCAUUAGGAGUAGAGCUACUAGUAGGAUCUGCCCCCACAUUUGUCAUCUUUUCCACAUGAUCGGGAAUAGAACUAGAUGUGUGAGUAGGAUCAACACUAGAAGAACUUUGAGGUAUACCAGUCUUCAUAGGGAAGACAUCCUCAAAGAAUGUUGCAUCACGAAACUCAACUAUCGUGUUUGCCACUAUACCAUCUAUGUCAGAUUUUAAUACUAAAAAUCUCAUAGCUGUAGUGGUUUCGAGAUAGCCCAGAAAGAUACAAUCAACAGUUUUCGGCCCUAGUUUCUUUCUCUUGUGUUCAGGGACAAGUACCUUCGCAAGGCACCCCCACACACGAAGAUACUUUAGACUAGUUUUCCUGCCUUUCCAUAAUUCGUAAGGUGUCUUGUCCAUAUGUUUCAGAGGGACUCUAUUCAGAAUAUGGCAAGCCGUAUUCAGAGCCUCCCCCCACAUGUACUUGGGCAACCCCGAAUUAAUCAACAUACUGUUAAUCAUAUCUUUAAAAGUUCUGUUCUUUCGUUCUGCCACCCCAUUAGACUCAGGUGUAUAUGGUGGAGUCACCUCAUGAAUUAUACCAUUGCUCUUGCAAAAUUCAUUAAAGGUGUUUCCCGUAUAUUCACCACCUCUAUCAGAUCUCAAACGUUUAAGUACUUUACCAGUUUGUGUUUCAACUUCAGUUUUAAAUCUAAUGAAUUUUUCAAGUGCUUCAUCUUUAUGUUUAAGCAAAUAAACAUAACAAUAUCUACUACAAUCAUCUAUAAAGGUAAUGAAAUAUCUACAGUGUUCCUUAGUCAACACACCACCAAAUUCACAUAUGUCCGAGUGCACUAAAUCUAACAAGUCAGAAUCCCUAACCACACUAUGAAAAGGUUUCCUUGUUAGUUUAGCUGUCACACAUACUUGACAUUUAGUUUUCUUAUCAAUGGCAUGCUUUGGAAUCAACUCUAAGUUCAUCAUAUUCUUUAGAGCACCAAAAUUUAAAUGACCAAGCCUAGAGUGCCACAAAUCGGAUGAUUCAAUAUUAUUAACAGAAGGAGAAGCAAUAUCAUUAAUAAAACCGCCUAAAACAGGCUCCACAUUUAUUAAAAACAAGCCGUCUGACAAGUAGCCCUUGCCAAAAAACACACCAGUCUGAGUAAUAACUACUUUAUUACACUUUAAAGAAAGUUCAAAGCCAUUUUUAACUAAACAACUUCCACUAAUAAUAUUUCUACGAAUCUCGGGAACAUGAUGCACUCUAGUAAGGGAUAGAACACGCCCUGAAGCAAACUUCAGGUCCACGUUUCCUAUUCCACGAACUUGAGCCGCACUAGCAUUCCCCAUCGUCACUGUCAUCCCAUGAGCCUGUUGAUAAGAUACAAACAGAGUAAUAUCAGCACAAAUGUGCACAUUAGCUCCCGUAUCAAUCAACCACUCAUUAGACAGAUAAGUGGAAAAUAGUUCAGGGUUGUACUUAACAUACCCGUCAUUGGUUUCAGAAGCAACAGCCUCACCAACAACCAUGUUAAGCACAGGCCCAUCAGUGGUUCCAAGCACAGUAUUUGCUUGUGCUACCACCUCAGCUUUCUUUGCUUUCUUUACAGGACAGUCCUUACUCCAAUGACCAACCUGUCCACAAGACCAACAUGGUUUGUUGGCCUUUGAUUUCUUAGCCUUGCCCUUGUCAGUUUUGGGCUUAGUGUUCACCUUCUUAGCGACAGACUUUCUUUUCUGUCCCACAGUCACUACAUUGACCUUCGAGCUACCAGAUUCAGUUGGCAUCACAUGUCCCUGUUUGGACUUGUGCUGCUCCUGCACAGAGAUGUCCAGCAUCAGGUUAGUCCAAGUGAUCUCUCCCUUCUGCCUUUUCAGGGAGAGUGCAAACUCUUCCCAAGACUUAGGGAGUUUUUCAAUCACAGACAUAACCAAAAACUUUUCAGGAAGGUCCAUUCCGGACUCCUUCAAAGCAUGCACCAACGUCUCAAACUCAUGCACCUGCUCAGUCAUGGAUUUUGUAUCCACCAGUUUGAAGUCCAGGAACUUAGCCACAGAAUACUUUUCCAACCCUUGCGAGUCAGUAUUGUGUGUCUGAUCAAGUUUCUCCCACAAGGUCUUAGCAGUGUAGGAGUCAGAUGAGUAAACAUCGAACAGAGUGUUCGUUAAGGCUGCUAGAAUAGCAGCCCUAGCCACCCCAUCCUUUUCCUCCCACAUAGCAUAGGCCUUAAGGGUUUCAGCCUUUUCCUGUACCACAACUGGUUUCUCAUACUGCAACACCGGCCAUAGACCCUUAACCGUAAGCCACAGUUUCAUCUUUUUCUGCCAACGAGAAAAAGAAACUCCCCCACCGAAUUUAUCAGGAAUACCUGAUAAAUCAAUGGGCUGUGGAAAACGAUACGUAGUCCAAUCGAUGUUACUAGUAACACCAGACCCAGAACCAGCACCACCACCAACAACAGAAUCCGCAAUCUCAUUAACCAUCUUGCUUACUACACAAUAUAACAGAUAAUCACUUCAAGAUUGUUGGGAGUCACAGUGAAAAUCACAUCAACAAUGUAUAGAGCAGUUAUAUUAUAUAAACAAGUGUAGGCCAACGAAACCACAACAAUAUAGCAUGCACGAAGAUCGUAUAUACAAUAAUCAGUGACUGAUAAAUUACAAGAAAAGAAGAGAAAGGCGCACCUUACACCGUCGCUAGAAUUUAGUAUACAGAACAGCUGAGUCGCCUAGCCCUUCGAUGAAGACUAGACUGUUCUUGAAGUGAUUAUUGCCCUACUACGCUGUGAUGGGUAGUCGCAAUAUCGCUCCCAGGAAAAAACAGCACAGACCGAACCGCUCACAGACACGAGUACGAUCAACAGCGAUCAACACCUCAGUUCGCCCGAGAACAGUAUGUAUAUGUGUAUAUAUCGGAGUAGAUGGUGAGAGUGUAAUAGAGAAGAAUGAGAAUGGUGUUUGUGUUUUUCCCGUGCUACAACUCAAGUGUCGAGGCUCACUAUUUAUAGUGAGGCCAAGGCACCAACACACCGUCCAGAUUCAUCUGUCCAGGUUCAAUGAAUCUGUAUCUGUCAGACAUUCUGACCAGAUUCAUUUGUCCAGGUUCAAUGAAUCUGUAUCUGUCAAACAAUAUUAAAAUAUGUUUUAAACUUUCCAUUUUCUAACAAUCCCCCACAAAUCCAUAUAGAUAUAAAAUAUAGCGAGGAAGAAUAUGUAUUCAAGUCGCUCAAGGCCAACCAGACUGGGGCAAUAUCGAAAGACACUGUCUAUUGAAUCUUUUUCAUACUUAAUUGGCUCUUUGUCUGAGAUUACGCAGAUGCUCCAAUUUUCAUUUCUAAAGAUUCAACUAAUAAUGAAUGAUACAGAGAUGAGUAUUCCUGAUUCAGAUUCUAAACAUACUCUCUCAAAACCUUGGGAACUAAUAUGAUAUUGACAAUAUUGUUAUCAGUUUUAAUCUGUAUUCUGCUUCAUAUUUCCAACUAUUAUGUGUGAACGAUAUAGGUUUUAAUAAAUACCAGGAGAAAAAAAAAGGACUGACAGGAUCUGAACAUUGUGUUGGAGACUUGGAGUGAUGUCUCACUGUCGAGGCACUAUGAUACUAUCACUAAAUUGCAUUCAACAAUGUUUGAUAAAGUGAGUUCCUACAAAUAGAGAGAGGCAGAACCCCGGGUUGAUUAAGGCUCAAUCCGGGGCGCAGGUGUUCUUACUGCAUGACUGGUAAAAACUGUUAAAUUAAUUUUGCAAUUUCGAAGCAGUGAUGGCUAAAGAUUCAAGUAACAUAUUAUCGUUGUUUUUUGUCUUUGCAUUCCUAAAUCAUGGAAACUCCCUGUACACUGAUUUUCUAUACAAAAUCGUUGCUGCGCCUUAACCACAUCUGUUGUAGUCCAUAAUCAGGUUUUCAAAUGGGAUCUUCUUCAACAAGUGCCUUUUUGGUCCGUAACUUGCUUAUGAUUUUACUUGCAAGCAACAGUGUUCUUUGUCACAUACUCAGAAGUAGAGGUCAUCAGAUGAGCUGUGGGAGACGAGGUGAGACGAGCGUCUCAGGCUCGCGAGAAGAGACGAGACGAGUUGAGUUGAGUUCUGGCCAGCUCAACUCGUGUACAACUCGACGAAUUGAGUGAGCUACACGAGUUAUUAUUCUUGUUCUUUUUUUAAAUAAUGUGUAGAAAUUGGAUAUUAAUUUAUUAUGUAAUAUAUAAAAGAGGACAGUAUCUCAAUUAAUUUUAUUAAUUGAUAAAAUCACAAAUAAUUUAAAAGGACUUCUCUCUAAAAAACAGAAUAAACCGCAGAUACAUUUACAUCAAAAAACAUUUAAAAUCAAAAACAUAAAAAACUAAAAACACUAAAGCAAAUAUUUAAAAUCGAAAACGUAAGAAACAUAAAAAACAUAAAAACACUAAAAUAAAUAUUUAAAAUAAAAAAUAUAAAAAAACGUAAAAACAUAAAAUCGAAAAAACUUAUCAAGAUCCAUCGUGGUAGCGAUACGGACGAGACGAGUUGUCAUGACGAGAUGAGCUCAGUGCCAAGACAAGCCGAUUUGCCGAGAUGAAACGAGUCUGAAUCGUGUAUUCUAAAUUUGUGAACGCUCGUCUAGUUAAAUAAGAGCAAGUCCAAUGGUGAUGCUAAAAUGUGUAUAGCUAUUAUUAUAAUUUGAAGCCAAAAAGUGGUUUUUGAAGUUAAAAUAGAACUCAUAGUCCAAUGGGUAGAUUCAAAAUAGAACCAAUUAGAUGUAUAUUUAAUUAACCUUCAACUACCCUCCAAUAAAUACACAUAACAUCUAAAUAUAGCAUCCCAUUGGAGUUGAAUUUUUCUCUUGGGUGCUAUAUUAUAACAAUAGCAACAUCUAUACUUGGUUCUAUAUUUAGCACCAAGUAUAGCAUUUUGCUAUUUUGCAUCUAAAUAUAGCAUCCCAUUGAAGUUGCAUUUUUUCCUUGAGUGCUAUAUUAUGGCAAUAGCACCCUCUUUAGCUCCCCCAUUGGACUUGCUCUAAUAUGUGUCAAGUUAUAUUCAUCUCAUUUUGUACCCAGUUAAAAGCGAGUUUUGAGACGAGCCGAACCGAAUCGUUACGAGCCGACUCGUUUGUUUGGCCACCCAUGCUCACAAAUACUGCACAAUUUCCGUAUAGAUCAUAAUUAUGUAGAAUAUGAUAUAUACAUGGGUACAAUUAUUUUGUAUAAACCAUAAUGUAGGUGUGGACUUGUAUUUGGAAAAUAAAGCUUUUUUCUCCCUUUUGAUUUGACAAGAAAUAAGAAAUACAGUGUCGGUUUGUUUAAGAGAAGCGGAAGCUGUUUGUAGCUUUUGUUUUUCUUGACCUGUUUGUGCAAAUAAGUUUAAACACUUUUAAAAAGCUGAAAAUUCUGAUUCACCUCUCACUUCUACAUAAUUAUGAUCUAUACGGCAGUAUUUGUGAGCAGGGGUGGCCAAACAAACGAGUCGGCUCGUAACGAUUCGGUUCAGCUCGUCUCAAAACUCGCUUUUAACUGGGUACAAAAUGAGAUGAAUAUAACUUGGCACAUAUUAGAGCAAGUCCAAUGGGGGAGCUAAAGAGGAUGGGUACAAUUAUUUUGUAUAAACCAUAAUGUAUACGGGUGUUCGCGGUGCGGGCGGUGCGAUUUUUUCCUAAAACCGCAAACCAACCCGCGUAUGCGGUUUGGGGAAAUUCGUAAACCGCAACCGCACCGCGUAAUAUAAAAACCGCGUAAACCACACCACAAAAUUGCGGUGCGGUGUGGUGCGGUUCAUGCGGUUUGCGUGGUUUAUACAUUCAAAAAAAUUAUACUUUUGAAUGACAAUAUAAAUAUAAUUUUAAAAUAUAUGUAUUUAAAAAUAAUUUUUAUAAAAUACACACACACAAAUUUAGAGUUACGAUACUCAUUAAAAGAAAUAUAAACUAAAAUAUGAGUAUGAUAAUGAUGAAGAUGAAAAGAUUUCAACACUUACAAGUCAUUUUAUUGGAAAACAAAUAUAAUUAUAAUAUUUAAUUUGUCGAAUUAAAAAUAACUUUAUUUGUAUCGUAAAAUUAUUAAAAUUAAGUUGAGUAACUUGAACAUAUAUACACACAUAUAGGAGAUAAUAUCAUAAUAAAUAAUCUAUUUGUAUUCUAUAUAAUAUAAAUAUUUGUAAUUAUAUGUGAUAUAUUUUUAUAUAUUAGAAAAUGGCGGUGCGGUGCGGUUUGAACCGCGCAUGUAUAAUGUCAAACCGCAACCCGCACCGCACCGCGCGGUUUGUUAAAAUUUCAACCCGCAACCGCACCACGAAAAAGAAAAACCGCAUUUUGCGGUGUGGUGCGGAGCGGUGCGGGCGGUUUAUGCGGUGUGGGCGGUUUGAUGAACACCCCUAAUAAUGUAGGUGUGGACUUGUAUUUGGAAAAUAAAGCUUUUUUCUCCCUUUUGAUUUGACAAGAAAUAAGAAAUACAGUGUCGGUUUGUUUAAGAGAAGCGGAAGCUGUUUGUACCUUCUGUUUUUCUUGACCCGUUUGUGCAAAUAAGCUUAAACACUUUUAAAAAGCGGAGAAUGCUUAUUUACCUUUCACUUCUAAUCUACUUUUUUGCUUUAAACAAGAAUUCACUUUUUUUAAAUUUGCUCAAACGGCCUCAAAGUCUAGAAGACUCAGACAAGACUCAGACAGAGUCGUCCAUCUUAGAUGCUUGGCCCAGAGUCAAGUUGUGAUGGUUGUUUCUCUCCGGUUUCGUGUAGACUUAUCAUUAUGGUCUUCACUUAAAUCUUAUAACAUUGCCGUAUAGAAGAAUAACAUUAGCAAUUUAGCAUCCCCUACCGCCCUGCAAACUAUAAUUCAUUACCAAUAAUUCUACCAUGUUUCUUACACUUUUUUGCUCCUACCUUUUUCUUGAUCACCAGCUUUUUGUUUCAGACACAACUCCAAUUAGUAGCAUAACAAGUGACAGUUCUGAUCGUAAUCUGGUAGUUCCAAGCCUCGUUUCUCAGACUCCAGCUGUCCAGCAUAUGUCUCUUUGAUUCCACAACUGAAAAAAGAAGUUCCAAAUCCUGGCCUAAAUAAUGCAUUUGCAACUUAUGUGAUUCUGGUGAUCACGCUCUUGAAUGUCAUUGUGUAUAAGCUUAGGCAAUAUCAUGAAGAAGAAUAUCACAAUCAGAGUAGUCAGUCAUCAUCAACCUUUAAGAACCAGUGGCGCCUAUUUUCUUUAAAAGAGAUUCGAUUGGCUACUCACAACUUUGAUGGAGAUUUGGUUCUCGGGAGGGGUGGAUUCGGUAAGGUGUACAAAGGCCAACUGAAUGAUGGGGCCAUGACCAUUGUUGCGGUGAAGCGGUUGAAUUCUAAGUCCAGGCAAGGAGCCAGAGAGUUCUGGACCGAGAUUGAGAUGCUCUCUAAUUUUCGACAUAGCCAUCUUGUGUCCCUGAUUGGUUAUUGUAACGAGGAUCAGGAGAUGAUACUUGUUUAUGAGUACAUGCCUCAUGGCACACUUUCUGAUCACUUGUAUAAAAGCAGCAGAAAUGGCCCUGUUGUUCCUCAGCUUCUGUCCUGGGAACGACGCUUGAACAUAUGCAUUGGUGCAGCACGUGGAUUAGAUUACCUUCAUACGGGGACAGGUCUGCACCAAAGAGUGAUACACCGCGAUGUGAAGAGCUCAAACAUCCUCUUAGACGAGCACUGGGAGGCUAAAGUUUCUGAUUUUGGUUUGUCCAAAAUUGGC